rnacentral:tmRNA from 1 species
GGGGCUGAUUCUGGAUUCGACGGGAUUUGCGAAACCCAAGGUGCAUGCCGAGGGGCGGUUGGCCUCGUAAAAAGCCGCAAAAAAUAGUCGCAAACGACGAAAACUACGCUUUAGCAGCUUAAUAACCUGCUUAGAGCCCUCUCUCCCUAGCCUCCGCUCUUAGGACGGGGAUCAAGAGAGGUCAAACCCAAAAGAGAUCGCGUGGAAGCCCUGCCUGGGGUUGAAGCGUUAAAACUUAAUCAGGCUAGUUUGUUAGUG